GCCUAUUAAAAAAAAAUGUAAAACACAAAUAUAAACCCGAACCUGUCUGAUCUCGGAAGCUAAGCAGCGUCGGGCCUGGUUAGUACUUGGAUGGGAGACCAACUAGGAAGACCAGGUGCUGUAGGCA
rnacentral:rRNA from 1 species